AUUCCAGCUCCAAUAGCGUAUGUUAAAGUUGUUGCGGCUAAAAAGCUCGUAGUUGGAUUUCUAGAUGAGAGGAGUGGUCCACUCUAUGAGUGUGUAUCUACUUCCGCUUGUCUAUCCGCUCUGCAGACGUGUUCGCGCUUAAGUGCGUGGUACGGAGGUAGGGCCUUUUACUUUGAGGAAAUUAGAGUGUUCACGGCAGGCAUCCGCCUUGAAUAUAUUAGCAUGGAAUAAUAACAUGGGAUCUUGGUUCUAUUUUGUUGGUUUCUAGGACUAAGAUAAUGAUUAAUAGGGACAAUUGGGGGCAUUCGUAUCGCGGUGUCAGAGGUGGAAUUCUUGGAUUACUGCGCGACGAACUACUGCGAAAGCAUUUGCCAAGGAUGUUUUCAUCA
rnacentral:rRNA from 1 species